GGACGAACGCUGGCGACACGCCUAACACAUGCAAGUCGAACGGAGAUUGAGAGCUUGCUCUUAAAUCUUAGUGGCGGACGGGUGAGUAACACGUGAGCAACCUGCCUCUGAGAGAGGGAUAGCUUCUGGAAACGGAUGGUAAUACCUCAUAACAUUACAUGACCGCAUGAUCGUGUAAUCAAAGAUUUAUCACUCAGAGAUGGGCUCGCGUCUGAUUAGCUAGUUGGUGAGGUAACGGCCCACCAAGGCGACGAUCAGUAGCCGGACUGAGAGGUUGAACGGCCACAUUGGGACUGAGACACGGCCCAGACUCCUACGGGAGGCAGCAGUGAGGGAUAUUGCACAAUGGAGGAAACUCUGAAUGCAGCGAUGCCGCGUGGAGGAAGAAGGUUUUCGGAUUGUAAACUCCUGUUUCGAGGGACGAUAAUGACGGUACCUCGGGAGGAAGCUCCGGCUAACUACGUGCCAGCCGCUGC
rnacentral:rRNA from 1 species